rnacentral:rRNA from 1 species
AUUGAACGCUGGCGGCAUGCCUUACACAUGCAAGUCGAACGGCAGCACGGGUGCUUGCACCUGGUGGCGAGUGGCGAACGGGUGAGUAAUACAUCGGAGCGUACCUUAUCGUGGGGGAUAACGCAGCGAAAGCUGUGCUAAUACCGCAUACGCCCUGAGGGGGAAAGCGGGGGAUCGAAAGACCUCGCGCGAUUAGAGCGGCCGAUGCCUGAUUAGCUUGUUGGUGGGGUAAAAGCCCACCAAGGCGACGAUCAGUAGCUGGUCUGAGAGGACGAUCAGCCAAACUGGGACUGAGACACGGCCCAGACUCCUACGGGAUGCAGCAGUGGGGAAUUUUGGACAAGGGGGGCAACCCUGAUUCAGCAAUGCCGCGUGAGUGAAGAAGGCCUUCGGGUUGUAAAGCUCUUUUGUCAGGGAAGAAACACCGGCUCUAACACAGUCCGGGAAUGACGGUACCCGAAGAAUAAGCACCGGCUAACUACGUGCCAGCAGCCGCGGUAA